AUUGAACGCUGGCGGCAGGCCUAACACAUGCAAGUCGAGCGGAUGAGUGGAGCUUGCUCCAUGAUUCAGCGGCGGACGGGUGAGUAAUGCCUAGGAAUCUGCCUGGUAGUGGGGGACAACGUUUCGAAAGGAACGCUAAUACCGCAUACGUCCCACGGGAGAAAGCAGGGGACCUUCGGGCCUUGCGCUAUCAGAUGAGCCUAGGUCGGAUUAGCUAGUAGGUGAGGUAAUGGCUCACCUAGGCGACGAUCCGUAACUGGGUCUGAGAGGAUGAUCAGUCACACUGGAACUGAGACACGGCCCAGACUCCUACGGGAGGCAGCAGUGGGAAUUUUGGACAAUGGGCGCAAGCCUGAUCCAGCAAUGCCGCGUGCAGGAUGAAGGCCUUCGGGUUGUAAACUGCUUUGUACGGAACGAAACGGUGAGCUCUAAUACAGUUUGCUAAUGACGGUACCGUAAGAAUAAGCACCGGCUAACUACGUG
rnacentral:rRNA from 1 species